rnacentral:rRNA from 1 species
CCCUUAGAUGUUCUGGGCUGCACGCGCGCUACACUGAGGCUAUCAACACGUUUUCCCUCCCUGAGAAGGGCGGGUAACCUUUUGAAUCAGCUUCGUGGUAGGGAUCGGGGCUUGCAAUUGUUCCCCGUGAACCAGGAAUUCCUAGUAGACGCGAGUCAUAAGCUCGCAUCGAUUAAGUCCCUGCCCUUUGUACACACCGCCCGUCGCUACUACCGAUUGAACGUUUUAGUGAGGCAUUUGGACCGACGCAUCUCAGUUUAACCGCUGGUUUGUGUUGGAAAGACUUCCAAACUUGAGCGUUUAGAGGAAGUAAAAGUCGUAACA